rnacentral:rRNA from 1 species
GACGAACGCUGGCGGCGUGCUUAACACAUGCAAGUCGAACGGAAAGGCCCUGCUUUUGUGGGGUGCUCGAGUGGCGAACGGGUGAGUAACACGUGAGUAACCUGCCCUUGACUUUGGGAUAACUUCAGGAAACUGGGGCUACUACCGUAUAGGAGCUCCUGCUGCAUGGUGGGGGUUGGAUCGUUUCGGCGGUUGGGGAUGGACUCGCGGCUUAUCAGCUUGUUGGUGGGGUAGUGGCUUACCAAGGCUUUGACGGGUAGCCGGCCUGAGAGGGUGACCGGCCACAUUGGGACUGAGAUACGGCCCAGACUCCUACGGGAGGCAGCAGUGGGGAAUAUUGCACAAUGGGCGGAAGCGUGAGGCAGCAACGCCGCGUGCGGGAUGACGGCCUGCGGGUUGUAAACCGCUUUCGCCUGUGACGAAGCGUGAGUGACGGUAAUGGGUAAAGAAGCACCGGCUAACUACGUG